AUUGAACGCUGGCGGCGUGCCUAACACAUGCAAGUCGAGCGGUAACAGGUGUAGCAAUACAUGCUGACGAGCGGCGAACGGGUGAGUAAUGCUUCGGAAUCUGCCCAUGUAGUGGGGAAUAACCAGCCGAAAGGUUGGCUAAUACCGCAUACGACCUACGGGUGAAAGCAGGGGAUCGCAAGACCUUGCGCUAUUGGAUGAGCCGAAGUCGGAUUAGCAGUUGGUAGGGUAACGGCCUACCAAGCGACGAUCCGUAGCUGGUCUGAGAGGACGACCAGCCACACUGGGACGUGAGACACGGCCCACGACUCCUACGGGAGGCAGCAGUGGGGAAUAUUGGACAAUGGGGGCGAACCCUGAUCCAGCGACGCCGCGUGUGUGAAGAAGGCCUGCGGG
rnacentral:rRNA from 1 species